GGCGUAGCUCAACGGUAGAGCAACGGAUUUGUAAUCCGUUGGUUGCGGGUUCAAAUCCCAUCGCC
rnacentral:tRNA from 1 species